rnacentral:piRNA from 1 species
UUGGCUUCAGGCAUUCACUUAGCUUAAACGGA